rfam:Triticum aestivum genome assembly, contig: Triticum_aestivum_CS42_TGACv1_scaffold_224362_3B
AUUGUACUCCCUCCGUCCGGAAAUACUUGUCAUCAAAAUGAAUGAAAAUGGAUGUAUUUAGAACUAAAAUACAUAUAGAUACAUCUAUUUUAUUGACAAGUAUUUCCGGACGGAGGGAGUAUUUG